AGAGUUUGAUCAUGGCUCAGGAUGAACGCUGGCGGCAUGCCUAACACAUGCAAGUCUACGGUCCUUUCUGAUAACAAAGCUUGCUUUGUUUGAAGUUUUAUAGACAGUGGCGAACUGGUGAGUAACAAGUUGGAACCUACCCCUAGCUCAGGGAUAAUCCGUUGAAAAGCGGACUAAUACCGGAUGCCCCCCUUCGGGGGGAAAGCUUCGGCGGCGAGGGAGGGGCCUACUUUCUAUUAGCCUGUUGGUAAGGUAACGGCUUACCAAAGCUAUGAUGGAUAGCUGGUCUGAGAGGAUGAUCAGCCACACUGGGACUGAGAUACGGCCCAGACUCCUACGGGAGGCAGCAGUGAGGAAUAUUCCGCAAUGGGCGAAAGCCUGACGGAGCAAUGCCGCGUGAUCGAUGACGCCCUUCGGGGUGUAAAGAUCUUUUCUAUGGGAAUAAGUUCUGAAGGUACCAUAGGAAUAAGUCACGGCUAAUCACGUGCCAGCAGCCGCGGUAAUACGUGAGUGGCUAGCAUUAUCCGGAAUUAUUGGGCGUAAAGCGUCUGUAGGGGGAAAGUUAAGUGAAUUGUUAAAUCUCUCGACUCAAUCGAGAUCUUGCAGUUCAUACUGGCUUUCUAGAAGAUGGUAGAGGCAAGUGGAAUUCCAGGAGUAGGGGUAAUAUCCGUUGAUACCUGGAGGAACACCAAUAGCGAAGGCAACUUGCUGGGCCAUUCUUGACCCUGAGAGACGAAAGCGUGGGGAGCGAACGGGAUUAGAUACCCCGGUAGUCCACGCCGUAAACGAUGGAUACUAGGCGUAUGAGGCAUCGACCCCUUAUGUGCCGAAGCUAACGCAUUAAGUAUCCCGCCUGGGUAGUACGAUCGCAAGAUUAAAAUCUAAAGGAAUUGACGGGGAUCCACACAAGCGGUGGAGCAUGUGGUUUAAUUCGACAAUAAGCGAAGAACCUUACCAAGGCUUGACAUCUCUGGAAUUCCUCCGAAAGGAGGAAGUGCUCGAAAGAGAACCGGAUGACAGGUGCUGCAUGGUCGUCGUCAGCUCGUGCCGUGAGGUGUACGGUUAAGUCCGAUAACGAGCGCAACCCUUGCCGUUAGUUGUAUUUCUCUAACGGGACUGCCCUGGACAACAGGGAGGAAGGUGGGGAUGACGUCAGAUCAGCAUGGCUCUUACGCCUUGGGCUACACACGUGCUACAAUGGGGUGCACAAUGGGAGGCAAUGGAGUAAUCCGGAGCAAAUCCUCAAAACACCUCGAAGUUCGGAUUGAGGGCUGCAACUCGCCCUCAUGAAGUUGGAAUCGCUAGUAACCGCCAAUCAGCAAUGUGGCGGUGAAUAUGUUCCUGGAUCUUGUACACACCGCCCGUCANGCCAUGGAAGAUGUGGGGCACCAGAAGACGUCUUACACUAACUNUUUNAUGAUGCGGACGGCCAAUGGUGAAACCAUUGNCAUGGGUCGAAGUCGUAACAAGGUANCCGUA
rnacentral:rRNA from 1 species